rnacentral:rRNA from 1 species
AUUGAACGCUGGCGGCAGGCCUAACACAUGCAAGUCGAGCGAGAGGCGGACGGGUGAGUAAUGUCUGGGAAACUGCCUGAUGGAGGGGGAUAACUACUGGAAACGGUAGCUAAUACCGCAUACCAUCAGAUGUGCCCAGAUGGGAUUAGCUAGUAGGUGGGGUAAUGGCUCACCUAGGCGACGAUCCCUAGCUGGUCUGAGAGGAUGACCAGCAACACUGGAACGGAGCCACGUUCCAGACUCCUAGUGGAUGCAGGAGGGGGGAAGAUUGCACAAGGGGCGAAAGCCUGAGGCAGCCAGGCCGGGGGUGUGAAGAAGUCCUUCGGGUUGAAAAGCACUUUCAGCGGGGAGGCGUUACCCGCAGAAGAAGCACCGGCGAACUCCGUGCCAGCAGCCGCGGUAUUC